AUGUCUGACGAUGUUGUUUCACAUCCUCCUCUGAGCAGCUGCAGGAUCAGUUCAGUCUCUGUGACUCUGACUGACCGAUCAAGGUUUUUGUACGACUCUUUAUCACUGUGUGAAUACAUCUUUCUUGUUGAUUACAUGAAGUCUCUCCCAGAUGAUCUGCUGCCGCUGAAUCUAGAUGGAGUUCCUGACUGGAGGGAGAGAAAUGCUUUCUUCUUGACUGAGUUGAGUGUUGUGUGUUUGUCAGGCGUCACUCGUCCUAAAGUGAGCGUCCUGCCGCCCUCCAGUGCAGAGAUCUCCUCAAAGAAGACAGCGACACUGGUGUGUGUGGCCAGCAAGGGCUUCCCGUCAGACUGGAGCCUGAGCUGGAAGGUGGACGGGAGCAGCAGGUCUCAGGAGAGCAGCGCUGGGCUCCUGGAGAAGGACGGUCUGUACAGCUGGAGCAGCAGCCUGACUCUCUCUGAGCAGGAGUGGAUGGAGAGCGUCUCAGUGAGCUGUGAGGCCACACGGAGCGGCCAGCCUGCGCUCACUGGACACGUGACGAGACAGCAGUGUUCAGAGUAGAUCUGCUGCUCUUCUCACUCAUGUCUCACAUGGAGACUAACAGCACAUGAGCGACUCCUUCAUUCUCCACAUCCAGCUUCAGUCGCUCUCAUCUGCAGCUGCUCUGCUUUCUGUGCUUCAUACAAGAGUAAAUGUCUGACUUUAU